rnacentral:lncRNA from 1 species
CUUCGGGCGACCAGCAGGGGGCGGGUGUGCUCCUGCUGUCCUGGGGCGGCAGCUCUGGGGCGCACACCCCGCCCCACCCAGGGCUUGAGACAGACACUCCAGCUCCCGCACCGCUGCGGUUAAAAUUACUGGCUCUGCUGAGUUUCCAGGUCCGGUGCGGCAGCAGGAGGAAGCCGAGCUCCCGGGCAGCACUCGAGCAAGCAGCACUUUCCGUUUCUCUGGCGGGGAAGUGCGCCUUUCUCGAGCUCCGCCCUCUGAGACAGUCGCCGAGGACGAGCACCCCGGCCCACCCCGGCCGCGUCCAGCAGAAGCCGUCUUUCUAUACCGGCUGAGCCUCCACAGGCCGUGAUAGCAAUGACAGGAGGCUGAGACACUCCACUCCCCUUUAUCCGCCCCAUAGAAGAGCCGGGCUCACCCCCUGCACCACCCGGUCCGUCCCCCCACCCCCCGACCUCGCCCAAGCCUCCGUGCUCCCACUCAAACCCAGGUAAAAGGGAACAACUGUGACAGCUCUGACAGCGGUCCUCCACGCCAGCAGCCUGUUCUCUGAGCCUACAGCAUGUGGACGUCAAUAAAAUGUGGGUGCCGUGUUCCUCACUCUCCUGGUGGUUUUUUCUGCGGUUGGGAGUCAAACCAGGGCCCCUUGGAUGCCAGGCACCGGCCCA